rnacentral:rRNA from 1 species
CAUUUGAUGUUGAAUAACAUUAUAGGAUUUCAAUCUUAUUAUGUUGACUUUUGGGAUCGUAGAGAUUAACAAGGAUAGUCAAUGGCAUUUGUAUUUCAUGGUAAGAAAUGAAAUUCUUGAAUUUAUAAAAGACAAACAACAGUGAAAAUAUUUGUCAAUGAUGCAUUCAUUAAGAACGAAAGUGGAGGGAUCAAAGACGAUCAGAUAAUAUCCUAGUCUCAACCAUAAAAUGAUACCGACCAAGGAUUGACAAAUGUUGCUUGUAGGACUCUGCCGAUACCUCAUGAAAUAUCAAAAUUUUUGGGUU